UGGGAAACAGGUUAAUAUUCCUGUACUUGGUGUUACUGCGAAGGGGGGACGGAGAAGGCUAUGUUGGCCGGGCGACGGUUGUCCCGGUUUAAGCGUGUAGGCUGGUUUUCCAGGCAAAUCCGGAAAAUCAAGGCUGAGGCGUGAUGACGAGGCACUACGGUGCUGAAGCAACAAAUGCCCUGCUUCCAGGAAAAGCCUCUAAGCAUCAGGUAACAUCAAAUCGUACCCCAAACCGACACAGGUGGUCAGGUAGAGAAUACCAAGGCGCUUGAGAGAACUCGGGUGAAGGAACUAGGCAAAAUGGUGCCGUAACUUCGGGAGAAGG
rnacentral:rRNA from 11 species